UCCACCGACCGACAGCCGACGGGCCGGGC
rnacentral:sRNA from 1 species